rnacentral:rRNA from 1 species
GACGAACGCUGGCGGCGCGCUUAACACAUGCAAGUCGAGCGAGAACCAGUCCUUCGGGACUGGGGAAAGCGGCGAACGGGUGAGUAACACGUGGGUAAUCUGCCCUCGGCACUGGGAUAGCCCGGGGAAACCCGGAUUAAUACCGGAUAGCCUUUCGAGCCUUCGGGCUCGUCAGAAAAGGUGGCUUCGGCUUCCGGCUGAGGAUGAGCCCGCGGCGGAUUAGCUUGUUGGUGGGGUAAUGGCCCACCAAGGCGACGAUCCGUAGCUGGUCUGAGAGGACGAGCAGCCACACUGGGACGGGGACACGGCCCAGACUCCUACGGGAGGCAGCAGUAGGGAAUCUUCCACAAUGGACGAAAGUCUGAUGGAGCAACGCCGCGUGAACGAUGAAGGCUUUCGGGUCGUAAAGUUCUGUUGUAAGGGAAGAACAAGUGCCGCAGGCAAUGGCGGCACCUUGACGGUACCUUGCGAGAAAGCCACGGCUAACUACGUGCCAGCCGCCGCUGUAAAAC